AUAGUAUAUUUGGCUAUUUGCCAUCUCAAGGAUAUAUACACACUCAACAAACCUUGAACAAAGACCCUUUCCUACACCAACUUGCACACUUCUUUCUCUUUCUUUUUUUCUUUAUCUGUCUUCAGCUGGAAUAUCAAGAAACUACAAGAUUAAGUAAAUAAAUAUAGUGACACAUAUUUUUCGAAAAAAGAUCAGAAUCUCUAGAAAGAAGAGAGACAAGGGAAAGGAUGAUGAGGAAAUGUGAGCUGUGCAGCUCCAUUGCAAGAAUGUUUUGUGAAUCAGAUCAAGCAAGUUUGUGUUGGAGUUGUGAUGCUAAAGUUCAUUCUGCUAAUUUUUUGGUGGCUAAACACUCGAGAACUCUUUUGUGUCAAACUUGUCAGUCUCUUACUCCAUGGACUGGCUCUGGUCCUAAGCUUGGACACACUCUUUCUGUCUGUGAAUCUUGUGUUCAUGGGGAUUCUAGCCAUAAUAAUCAUAUUGAUGAUGAUGGAGAUGAAGAUGAAGAUCAAGAAGAAGAUGAUGAUGAUGAGGAUGAGGAAGAGGAUGCAGAUGAUGAGCAAGAGGAAGAAGACGAUGGAGAGAAUCAAGUGGUUCCUCUUUCAUCCUCAUCUUUGGCUCCUCCACAAGUUACAAGCUCUUCUAGCAGUGAAGAAACAUCUGGCAGGUUGUAUAAUGGUGCUCAAAGUAGCAGGCAACCAAGAUUCUCAAUACCAUGGAGAAGAAAUCAUUGAUUUUGACAUGAAAAAAAGUUAGACAAGCAAAAGAGCACUAAAAAAUUUGUUUGGGCCAAAUCAAGGGGAUACAAUUGGAAGAUCAAAAGGAGGACAAUGAGACAAGGCAUGGUGAUAUAUACAGUACGUUGACAAGUCUUGAACUCAAAGCCAGGGAUAAAAAUGUCAUCAUCUCCUUAAUUAGUCAUGGUGUUCAAUACUACUGUUCACAUAUUGAAUUGUAGCCCCAUAUUCAAGCAUGUUGCUUAAUACUAAUGUUUAAUGUUAAGCUGCAAUGUCACGACUAAAUGAUAGUAUGUGCCUUCUGUACUGAUAUUUAAAAAGAUUCAUAACUAUUUCUUAA